GSSYRKUGAGAAAGUCUGACGGAGCACGCCGCGUGAGUGAGGAAGGUCUUCGGAUCGUAAAACUCUGUUGUCMGGGAAGAACCGCCGGGAUGACCUCCCGGUCUGACGGUACCUGACGAGAAAGCCCCGGCUAACUACGUGCCAGCAGCCGCGGUAAUACGUAGGGGGCAAGCGUUGUCCGGAAUUAUUGGGCGUAAAGCGCGCGCAGGCGGCUUCUUAAGUCAGGUGUGAAAGCCCACGGCUCAACCGUGGAGGGCCAUCUGAAACUGGGGAGCUUGAGUGCAGGAGAGGAGAGCGGAAUUCCACGUGUAGCGGUGAAAUGCGUAGAGAUGUGGAGGAACACCAGUGGCGAAGGCGGCUCUCUGGCCUGUAACUGACGCUGAGGCGCGAAAGCGUGGGGAGCAAACAGGAUUAGAUACCCUGGUAGUCCACGCCGUAAACGAUGAGUGCUAGGUGUUGGGGAGUCCACCUCCUCAGUGCCGCAGCUAACGCAAUAAGCACUCCGCCUGGGGAGUACGGCCGCAAGGYUGAAACUCAAAKGAAUUGACGG
rnacentral:rRNA from 1 species